AGCUCAAAUUUGAAAGCUGGUACCUUCGGUAUCCGCGUUGUAACCUCGAGACACGUUUUCCGUGCGGCGCUAUGGACAAGUUCCUUGGAACAGGACAUCGUAGAGGGUGAAAAUCCCGUACUUGCCAUGGAUGUACCGUGCUUUGCGAUACGUGCUCUAAGAGUCGAGUUGUUUGGGAUUGCAGCUCAAAAUGGGUGGUAGACUCCAUCUAAAGCUAAAUAUCGGGGAGAGACCGAUAGCGAACAAGUACCGUGAGGGAAAGAUGAAAAGCACUUUGGAAAGAGAGUUAAAAGUACGUGAAAUUGUCGAAAGGGAAGCGCUUGAAGUCAGCCAUGCCGCUCAGGACUCAGCCUGGCUUUUGCUUGGUGUAUUUCCUGGGUAGCAAGUCAGCAUUGGUUUGGAUCGUCGGAGAAGCAUAGUCGGAAUGUGGCGCCCUCGGGCGUGUUAUAGCCUUCUAUUGGAUACGACGAUCUAGACCAAGGAACGCAGCGCGCCUUAUGGCGGGUCUUCGGACACCUUCGCGCUUAGGAUGCUGGCGUAAUGGCUUUAAGUGGCCCGUCUUGA
rnacentral:rRNA from 1 species